AUGGGGGAUAACUAAUCGAAAGGUUGGCUAAUACCGCAUACGCCCUACGGGGGAAAGCAGGGGAUCUUCGGACCUUGCGUUAAUGGAGCGGCUGAUAUCUGAUUAGCUAGUUGGUGAGGUAAAGGCUCACCAAGGCGACGAUCAGUAGCUGGUCUGAGAGGACGACCAGCCACACUGGAACUGAGACACGGUCCAGACUCCUACGGGAGGCAGCAGUGGGGAAUUUUGGACAAUGGGCGCAAGCCUGAUCCAGCCAUUCCGCGUGAGUGAAGAAGGCCUUCGGGUUGUAAAGCUCUUUCGCAAGGAAAGAAAACUUACUUUCUAAUAAAGAGUGAGGUUGACGGUACCUUGAUAAGAAGCACCGGCUAACUACGUGCCAGCAGCCGCGGUAAUACGUAGGGUGCGAGCGUUAAUCGGAAUUACUGGGCGUAAAGCGUGCGCAGGCGGUUUUGUAAGUCAGAUGUGAAAUCCCCGAGCUCAACUUGGGAACUGCGUUUGAAACUACAAGACUAGAAUAUGUCAGAGGGGGGUAGAAUUCCACGUGUAGCAGUGAAAUGCGUAGAGAUGUGGAGGAAUACCAAUGGCGAAGGCAGCCCCCUGGGAUAAUAUUGACGCUCAUGCACGAAAGCGUGGGGAGCAAACAGGAUUAGAUACCCUGGUAGUCCACGCCCUAAACGAUGCUGACUAGUUGUUCGGGAUUUACAUCCUGAGUAACGUAGCUAACGCGUUAAGU
rnacentral:rRNA from 1 species